UAAUACGUAGGGACCAAGCGUUGUUCGGAUUUACUGGGCGUAAAGGGCGCGUAGGCGGCAAUUCAAGUCAGCUGUGAAAUCUCCGGGCUUAACUCGGAACGGUCAGCUGAUACUGCUUUGCUAGAGUGCAGAAGGGGCAAUCGGAAUUCUUGGUGUAGCGGUGAAAUGCGUAGAUAUCAAGAGGAACACCUGAGGUGAAGACGGGUUGCUGGGCUGACACUGACGCUGAGGCGCGAAAGCUAGGGUAGCAAACGGGAUUAGAUACCCCGGUAGUCCUAGCCCUAAACGAUGAAUACUUGGUGUCUGGAGUUUUAAUCCUCCGGGUGCCGUCGCUAACGUUUUAAGUAUUCCGCCUGGGGAGUACGCACGCAAGUGU
rnacentral:rRNA from 1 species